GACGAAGGGGGCUAGCGUUGUUCGGAAUUACUGGGGUCGUAAAGCGUGUGUAGGUGGUUGUCAUAAGUCCAGGGCGUCGGAAAGCCUUGAGCUCAACUCAAGAAAUGCGCUUUGAUACUGGGCAGCUAGAGGACCGGAGAGGAUAGUGGAAUUCCCAGUGUAGUGGUGAAAUACGUAGAGAUUGGGAAGAACACCAGUGGCGAAGGCGGCUCUCUGGGACGGUACUGACGGCUGAGACGGCGAAAAGCGGUGGGGAGCGAACCAGG
rnacentral:rRNA from 1 species